UACGUAGGUGGCAAGCGUUGUCCGGAAUUAUUGGGCGUAAAGCGCGCGCAGGCGGUCCUUUAAGUCUGAUGUGAAAGCCCACGGCUCAACCGUGGAGGGUCAUUGGAAACUGGGGGGACUUGAGUACAGAAGAGAAGAGUGGAAUUCCACGUGUAGCGGUGAAAUGCGUAGAGAUGUGGAGGAACACCAGUGGCGAAGGCGACUCUUUGGUCUGUAACUGACGCUGAGGCGCGAAAGCGUGGGGAGCGAACAGGG
rnacentral:rRNA from 1 species